UUAUAAUGGCCCGUUGAAUAUUGGCACUAGCUACAAAAUAUUUCAGCGCGUUUUCAUAAAUGAUCAGGGUGAUUAUUAUUCCACUGACUGGAGUCCAGUGGCAGCAACUGCCCAAAAGCACAAGUCUUCAGACGGUGGAAAAAUUGGAGCCAUUGCUGGUGCAGUUGUAGCUGCAAUUUUGCUCAUUAUUUUUGUCGUAUUGGUCAUUCUUUUUGUUAGGAUCAAUUUAAACUCUGCUACAGUGCAGUGAACUGCGUAUUGUAGUUAUUUGACGGCUACUAAAAGUUCUCAAAAA